AUGCCCAGGGUCCCGGUGUGUGGAAUUUCCCAGAGGCGGGCACAAACAUCCAGGAGGGCCGCAGAUGAAAAACUCCUGCUCCAGAAGAUUGCACACUUCUCCGGGCAACCACCACUGCUGUCUGGGCGACCAGACUCCCGUGGACUGCCAGGGCCAUUUCUCAGGUCGGCAGUGCCAGCUGGAAGGGCACGGCACGGCACGGCACGGCACGGCACAGCACCGGGGCAGUUCGAACAUCGCCACGCAGUCGCGGGCACAGUGGCGGCUGCAGGGCUGAGUGUUCCUGCCCGCAGAUCCCGGGGGAAUGUGAUCCCAAAGCGAUGGCCAUUCUCGGGAGCCAUCGCCACUCGGGGAACAACAGAAUGUCAGGUCCUGACAUGUCUUCUCGAGCGAAAAAGCACAGCCCCGUGUAGCCACGCCGUGGGAAAGGAGCCGGUGCAGCAUUUGGGAGCCCCCGCAGCUCUGGUGCCGUGCCCAGCCUCGGGCGGGCAGCUCGGAGGGCUCUCGGCGGCACAGCCGGGGCGCGGGGCCACGCUGGGAGCAGCUGGACAGGCCACGAAUUCCUGCCGGCGGCCGGCCCGGCGGGGCAUAGCAACGGGAGCCGGGGGAGGAACGGGAAGCAGCGGGAGCUGUGAGAAAGCGAGCGGCGCCGCGGGGCGAGGCGGGGGCCGGAGCGGGGGCGAGGAGGAGGAGGAGGAGAAAGAGGAGGAGGAGGAGGCGGCAGGGGCGAUUCGGGCCCUCCCGCCGGGCACGGCUCCUCUCCGGGGCAGCCGAACGCCACCCAAAGCCGCCGGUUUGCGGCCGCUCCGGUUCGUGCCAGCCUGUCCCGGGCUCGGCCCCGGAGCUGCACGACACGCUCGGUGCUGCCGCGGGCCCCGCUGCCUCCCCCGCGCACACCGAGUGCCCCCUCCAGCACCGGCUGCCCGCCGCUCACAGCGCCGCUGCCUCGGCUGCGGAACGGCACCGCUCCCCCGGCAACGGCGGCACUUGAAAUGCCGCCGCCCCGGGGUGGCCCCGCCGCCGGUGCAGCCCGGGCUGCUCCGCACGGGCUCCAGCUCCCGAGGGGAACCAGCCUCGCCGGGGGCAGGCACUGCGCAGCCACUGGGUUUCAUGUCAGAAAGGAUGUUUUGCUGCACGGGUUUGUUCUUCUGCAUGAAGGAAACGUUAAUCAAAAUGCAGAGGAGACACAAUAGAUGUACAGAUACAUUAAAUAUCUAG
rnacentral:lncRNA from 1 species